ACCGGGUCAAUUUAAGGAUACUGGUUCAUCGUGCAACGUCGUUGGUGGUUUAUCAUUAUAUCUUAGAGUGUGCAAGUAGUACUAAACGUCUGGUUUGACUAAGCAUGUACGCAAGAGUUCGUUAAAAUGGUCGCCUCGCUUUUGAGGUUUCUGGAGUUUUUUUUUUUUUUUAAUAAACUAUCAAAUGGAAACUUCACUCCUGGAGUUCUCUCCUGAUCGAGCUGACAGAUUUCCAAGCCUUUAAUGUACUGUAAUGUAUUUUUCCUUCAGUACAAACAGGUUUUUUUUGGCAGAACUGAAAUGAAUUACACAGCGAAUUAGUGUCAAGAAGUGUUCGGUUAUAUCUCCAGCGUAGGUGGAUGAAGUUCUUCGGUGUGAAAUAUUGUAAAUAACUACUCUCCACUGUAAUGAUUAUAC